GAGCUAUGUAAACUAUGGUAACGCGCUGUUGCUGGUCCUCAAAAGGGGAUACGUGCACGCUCUGUUUACACAUCCACUCACACCUGUGCACCCUUGUAGCUCUAUGGCCUGGGGACUCUGUCCUCUCGCUGUGGUCCUACGUCUUUACACACACACGCCGUAACAAAGUAUCAUGGAAUGUACAUCGCGUUUAACGCAAUACAAUACAACUUUCAGCAACGGAUCUCUUGGCUCUCGCAUCGAUGAAGAACGCAGCGAAAUGCGAUAAGUAAUGUGAAUUGCAGAAUUCAGUGAAUCAUCGAAUCUUUGAACGCACCUUGCGCCCUUUGGUUAUUCCGAAGGGCAUGCCUGUUUGAGUAUCAUGAACACCUCAACUCUCAUGGUUGCCGUGAUGAGCUUGGACUUUGGAGGCUUGCCGGAUAACCGUCGGCUCCUCUCAAUGAUCAGCUUCCCAGUGUUGGGGGCACAGGGUGAUAACUAUCUACGCUUGUGGCUUCCAUCAGGUACUUCAGCAUGAGGUCAUGAGUCAAGACUCUCUCCUCAGGAGAAGUUUCUGACGUUGUCUCAACAGGAGAUACCCGUGACUAACUACAUAACGAGAAAAAAUAAAAGAUCCCUAGAAUGGAGGACGGAAGUCAAUUAAAUUGCGGCUUGCGCCAAUA
rnacentral:misc_RNA from 1 species